rnacentral:tmRNA from 1 species
GGGGUCGAUCGGUUUCGACGGUGAUCUGUUCGCCGCGGGGAAGCGUGCCGAGAAUGCGAAAGUCCACUCGUAAACGUCCUUUCGCAAAAGAAUAAGUGCUAAAUCUAAUCGCACUGAGUUCGCUCUCGCUGCCUGAGCUUCGCGCCAGGAUUAACCAG